rnacentral:lncRNA from 1 species
GUGAGUGACAAUGAGACAACUUCCUAUCUCAAGCCCCAUUACGUUAUUGACUCGUCUGUGAAGUCUUCCCGAUUUCCUUGUUUGAGCUCCAGAUGAAUCUUAACGUUGAAUAGAGUCUCUUAGACGCCAUCUUUGUACUUUAAUGCCUUUGGCAAUUAACAUAUGCUGAAACAUAUUUUCACCACACAGAGGAAACUCUUGAAUAG